UAUGCUCCAUCAGAUACGUAUCGUGCAGUUGUCAUUGCUUGCAGACUCCUGUCAACACGUGCUGCUAUGGCAUGACGGAAAGUUCCAGUGCUUACCCGACAGCCAUGAGCAUGCCCCUUCCUCAUCCUCCCUCACUUCCGAUCUCCAUUUCCAUCCCCCACCGCUUUCCUCUUAUCGAUCACCUCCGCCGGCCGCCAUGGUCAAGCUCGCGUCGGCAGGAUGUCGACCUCACCGUGGAGGCCGAUGCGGCGGCACAGGCGACGUCCUGUCCAUCGCUAGCACAGACGCUCGCCGCCGCCACCUCCGCCUACUUCUUGCCGAGCACCUCUGUCGGUGGCCAUGGUCAGGCUCGCGCUGGCGCUCAUUUUGUUACUGACCAUUGUGAUUUCGGUGUCGGCCGAGGCGUCCAUCGAUCUGCAGAUACCGGUGAGCAGCACGCCAUUACCGGCAGCCGCACUAGUGACUUCGACGCCAUCGAGGACGAGCCUUCCGACGGCCGCAAGAGCCGCCACGCCUCCUACUGUGCCCCUCCGUCACGGCAGCCGUUGGCGGCUGCUCGUCUCCCGCUCGCCCUCCUCAUUUAAGACCCCGGCCGGUCUCCCCAAACCCUAGCCCCUUUCGUUCUUCACCUUUCUCCUCCAUUGCCGCCACCACUGCUUCCUUCCUCAGCGCCGGCCGCUCUCACAUUCUGUAUUUGCUUCUUCUACCUCCUCUUUGCUUCGAGCAUGCCUCUCUGCUAUGGACUACAGUAGACAGCGGCUGCCUCCAUGUCCGGCCCUCAGCACUGCGCACCUUGCGGCCAGUCAAAUGCUGCCCCAACACUGUGACCAACAACUCAACCGCGAGCAAGAAUUUUGGGAAAAAGUUAAGGUUCUAAGCAAUGAACUGUAUUGGUUGCAUACCAUGUGUUUGAUAGAAUGGCCAUGUAAGAUUGUCCAGAAACUGUUGCCAUUUUUUAAAGAACUUGGAUUUCGUCUGCAAGGUUAGCUGCAAGCCAGUCAAGGAAACAUGACUAACCUUUACUUUAGUCUUGCGAAUUUACACUUGAAUUUCUUGGGAAUUAUUUUUUAUUUGCCUAAAAUCAUCUUUACCUUCUUCCUUGCACCUUGACGAUAAAUCAUAGGUUAGGCUUCCUCAAUAUUUGUUCCUUUAAUGGCCUCUUUGCUUUGUGUUGCAGCUUGCAGUGAUAGCAUAUAUCCAUUUUAUGUUAUUUGAUCUUGCUACUGAGUAAUGACUAUUGACUAGCUAAUAAACUGCAGAACGACAUGAAGCUUUGCCCCAGGUGCGCAGUAUCUGAGCAGAUCCAACAAGCAAAUUCCUGACUCUAGAUGCAGGACAUGUACUAUUUAUUGGUAAUUUUUUUAUAUUUUCGUGUACUUAUAUAGUAAUCAAUUUAUUAUAUUGUCCUUGACAUACCUUCUGCAGACUACCUUACAGGUUGCAGUAUUGCAAUACCACUCUUGACUAGCAUUUCCAUUGCUGCAAGACCUGCAAUGCAAGAUGUGAGCUGCUUCUACAGAUUCUAGAUUCUAAACUUCAUGCAGUCUUCUUAUUCAUGUUGUUUCCUGUAACAUCCUUUGAUUAGAAUUAACUUCACCAUAACAGAGAAAAGUCAUGUAAGCGAAUCUCUAGUGCACUCUUAGGUGGAUCAUUUUUUCCCUAAUCUAUAAUGAUUGAUGUUUAAUUAUCAAAUAAAUUGGUUUCGACGGGUGGAUCAAUGGUCUAAGCAUUACCUAGCAUAUUUUGCAACUAAGUUUUGCAUAUGUUUAUUUGCCAUUUAAGUUCCAGCAUCAAAGUUUACUGGACUCUCAUUUUUAGAUAUUGUACACAUAUAGUGGACCCUCAUGUUCAAGUGCUUCAUCUAUUUUCUAAUGGAUUCAACACAGAGGAAGAUAUAAACAUUUUUGACCCAAACCAUAUCAUCAUAUUAGCUAACUUUUUCUAUUGCCAUUAAAUUGUCAUUUUGAGUAAUUUAUUUUCUUACAGCCACAUGCAUAGCCAACACCCCCCCCCAACCCCAACCCACCCAAACAAAAAGAAGAAGAAAGACAAUGCAAAGCCACUGUAAGUUUCAAUUGUUGUUACUACAGUUCACAAUUUGUGUUACUGUUUCCAAUUACAGCUGCUGUCCUUAGCAGGUGACCACUGACCAUGCAUACCUCUACAUAAGCACAUGAAAUUAACUGCAUAAACAGUUAUUAAUGGUAGUUGGUAGAUAUUUGUGCAAAAUUUAUGCCUUGAUAUUGUUACCUCAAUUUCUGCUAUGUUGUAGACCUACAGCAGUGAUAUUUUAACGUAAAAAUCAUCAUACUCAUCAUAUACGAUACUGUUCGCAAUAUUGUGUGUGACCGUUUGGGGGCAGUAUAUCUGUGUACUCACAUCAAGCAUACAGUAAUUAUAUACUAAAGGUUCUGUUCUGAAAUUUUGUAGCAGCUUGAUUAUGGAUUGGUUGCGUACCCGGUAUUGGUUCUUGCUCAAACCCAUGAGCUUGCACAGCAAAUUGAGAAGGUCAUGCGCAUCGAGGUUUGUUUUUCCCAACUCUGUUCUUCCCUAAGUUACUUUUGUUCGGGUUCAACCCAUGCCUUUCUUUUUUUCAUGCUAUAAUCGGACCACAUUUUCUUUUAAUAUGGCUACAGCAGUAUGCUUGAAACUGCGACAAACACCUGCUUCCAGAAUCCGAAUACAUUGGUGCUCCAAACUCUUGCUUCAGCUUCCCUUAUAAUCUUAUAUGGCUUCUCAUGCUUGAGAGUAUAAAAUUUCUUCUCUGUUGUGCUUUUCUUUUCAAAUAGGAGAUAUCCUUCUUACAUGUCACAUGGCCAGGCUUUGCAGCAAGGGUGCCAUUGGUGCUGAUUGGUUGCUGGUGCUGAAGCAGGUAGUAAUAUGGAGCUCAGGGGCAAUAGUAGGAAGCCAUGUGCUUUCUAUUACAUCCUUUGAUCAGGAUUAUAACUUCCUAAAAGCCAUGUGUAUUUACAUUCCUAUUAGAAGGCUAAAUAAUAUCUCUGUAGAUUACAUGUUCCAUUAUAAAUAUGUGAAUUCUACAUUUGCUUA